rnacentral:rRNA from 1 species
ACGGAAGGCAGCAGUGGGGAAUAUUGGACAAUGGGCGCAAGCCUGAUCCAGCGACGCCGCGUGAGUGAAGAAGUAUUUCGGUAUGUAAAGCUCUAUCAGCAGGGAAGAUAAUGACGGUACCUGACUAAGAAGCCCCGGCUAACUACGUGCCAGCAGCCGCGGUAAUACGUAGGGGGCAAGCGUUAUCCGGAUUUACUGGGUGUAAAGGGUGCGUAGGUGGCAUGGUAAGUCAGAUGUGAAAUACCGGGGCUCAACCCCGGGGCUGCAUUUGAAACUGCCAGGCUGGAGUACAGGAGAGGCAAGCGGAAUUCCUAGUGUAGCGGUGAAAUGCGUAGAUAUUAGGAGGAGCACCAGUGGCGAAGGCGGCUUGCUGGACUGUUACUGACACUGAGGCACGAAAGCGUGGGGAGCAAACAGGAUUAGAUACCCUGGUA